rnacentral:rRNA from 1 species
UACGUAGGGCGCAAGCGUUGUCCGGAAUUAUUGGGCGUAAAGAGCUCGUAGGCGGCUUGUCACGUCGGAUGUGAAAGCCCGGGGCUUAACCCCGGGUCUGCAUUCGAUACGGGCUAGCUAGAGUGUGGUAGGGGAGAUCGGAAUUCCUGGUGUAGCGGUGAAAUGCGCAGAUAUCAGGAGGAACACCGGUGGCGAAGGCGGAUCUCUGGGCCAUUACUGACGCUGAGGCGCGAAAGCGUGGGGAGCAAACAGG